GUGUGUUGCUGUAUUAGAAAAUGUUAA
rnacentral:piRNA from 1 species